rnacentral:rRNA from 1 species
GGGACGAACGCUGGCGGCGUGCCUAACACAUGCAAGUCGAACGGGGGUAGCAAUACCCCAGUGGCGAACGGGUGCGUAACACGUGAGGAAUCUGUCCAUCGGCGGGGGAUAGCCGGCCCAACGGCCGGGUAAUACCGCGUACGUCGGCGGGAGCGCAUGCUCCUGCCGGGAAAGCAGCAAUGCACCGAUGGAGGAUCUCGCGGCCUAUCAGCUUGUUGGUGAGGUAACGGCUCACCAAGGCGACGACGGGUAGCUGGUCUGAGAGGAUGAUCAGCCACAUUGGGACUGAGACACGGCCCAGACUCCUACGGGAGCAGCAGUGGGAAUAUGCGCAAUGGGGGAAACCCUGACGCAGCGACGCCGCGUGCGGAUGACGGCCUUCGGGUGUAAACCGCUGUCGCGAGGACGAAGAUCUGACGGUACCUCGAAAGGAGCGACCGGCUAACGUCUAGUGCCAGCAGCCGC